rnacentral:rRNA from 1 species
AGAGUUUGAUCAUGGCUCAGAAUCAACGCUGGCGGCGCGCCUAACACAUGCAAGUCGAACGAGAAAGGGGGAGCAAUCCCCCCGGUACAGUGGCGUACGGGUGAGUAACACGUGGGUAAUCUGCCCUUUGGUGGGGAAUAACCCUGGGAAACCGGGGAUAAUACCGCAUAAGCCCGAGAGGGGAAAGCAGCAAUGCGCCGAAGGAGGAGCCCGCGGCCGAUUAGCUAGUUGGUAGGGUAAAAGCCUACCAAGGCGAAGAUCGGUAGCCGGCCUGAGAGGGCACACGGCCACACUGGCACUGAAACACGGGCCAGACUCCUACGGGAGGCAGCAGUGGGGAAUCUUGCACAAUGGGGGAAACCCUGAUGCAGCGACGCCGCGUGAGCGAUGAAGCCCUUCGGGGUGUAAAGCUCUUUCGGCAGGGAAGAUCAUGACGGUACCUGCAGAAGCAGCUGCGGCUAACUACGUGCCAGCAGCCGCGGUAAUACGUAGGCAGCGAGCGUUGUUCGGAGUUACUGGGCGUAAAGGGUGUGUAGGCGGUUUGGUAAGUCUGGUGUGAAAUCUCCCGGCUCAACUGGGAGGGUGCGCCGGAAACUGCCGGACUCGAGUGCGGGAGAGGAGAGUGGAAUUCCUGGUGUAGCGGUGAAAUGCGUAGAUAUCAGGAGGAACACCGGUGGUGUAGACGGCUCUCUGGACCGUAACUGACGCUGAAACACGAAAGCGUGGGUAGCAAACAGGAUUAGAUACCCUGGUAGUCCACGCCCUAAACGAUGCAUAUUUGGUGUGGGUCAUUCAGUUGAUCCGUGCCGGAGCUAACGCGUUAAAUAUGCCGCCUGGGGAGUACAGUCGCAAGGCUGAAACUCAAAGGAAUUGACGGGGCCCGCACAAGCGGUGGAGCAUGUG